GUAAUGUCUGGGAAACUGCCUGAUGGAGGGGGAUAACUACUGGAAACGGUGGCUAAUACCGCAUAACGUCGCAAGACCAAAGAGGGGGACCUUCGGGCCUCUUGCCAUCAGAUGUGCCCAGAUGGGAUUAGCUAGUUGGUGAGGUAACGGCUCACCAAGGCGACGAUCCCUAGCUGGUCUGAGAGGAUGACCAGCCACACUGGAACUGAGACACGGUCCAGACUCCUACGGGAGGCAGCAGUGGGGAAUAUUGCACAAUGGGCGCAAGCCUGAUGCAGCCAUGCCGCGUGUAUGAAGAAGGCCUUCGGGUUGUAAAGUACUUUCAGCGGGGAGGAAGGUGUUGUGGUUAAUAACCGCAGCAAUUGACGUUACCCGCAGAAGAAGCACCGGCUAACUCCGUGCCAGCAGCCGCGGUAAUACGGAGGGUGCAAGCGUUAAUCGGAAUUACUGGGCGUAAAGCGCACGCAGGCGGUCUGUCAAGUCGGAUGUGAAAUCCCCGGGCUCAACCUGGGAACUGCAUUCGAAACUGGCAGGCUUGAGUCUUGUAGAGGGGGGUAGAAUUCCAGGUGUAGCGGUGAAAUGCGUAGAGAUCUGGAGGAAUACCGGUGGCGAAGGCGGCCCCCUGGACAAAGACUGACGCUCAGGUGCGAAAGC
rnacentral:rRNA from 1 species